UUGCAUAAGCACAAGCCCCACUGACGUCAAUGGGAGUUUUUCCGGGGCGAGGGCUGAGCGCCUUGGCUCGCUGCUAUAAACACGUUGGGACUUUCUCUUUUAAUGGAUGGAUGGAGAAACGAGACUUCUAAUGACACAGCCCAGUGCACACACAGUCCUCGAGCAUCCCCAGACCAACGGCAUGGCAGCCACUGGGCAUGCAGGUUUAUACAUGUGCCAAAAAUGCAACAGGAGAAGGCUGUGAAAAAUUAGGAAAUCUUCUUGACAUUGGGAAAUCCGACACUUGUCUGCUCUAACAUC